rnacentral:rRNA from 1 species
CUACCCAUUCCGAACAGGAAAGUUAAGAUCCAUAGCGCCGAAGGUACUGCACGGGAGACUGUGUGGGAGAUUAGGACGUUGCCAGGU